GCUCUUUGAAAAGUUGUUAGUAACUUUUUGUGAGGAAUUAAUUCUAAGGUCAUGGCACUGUGUUUAAAACCUUGAGCAUUAUGUGGGACUGCUUUAGAUCCUGAUUUUUCCCCUCCUCCCCCCGUACUUCUUGGGAAGAAAGUAAUAGAAUAAGUCACAUGACAGUGACUGGGGUUCAGAGGUGUUUAAUUCUUCCCUUUAUGAAAGAAUCCCUUCAUUCUGAGAUACCCAGCUCGUGGUUUCACAACAGGCUGAGAUGGUGUCAGAGAGACUUCCUAGAAGGAAAAUGUGACACUUCAUAUGUAUGUUUGCUUGCUGUCAAAGGUUUCAAACUGCUUGUUUGUGUCACAGCUAUUUCAGAGCCAUGGUAUCUGAAGUAUAGGCGCAAACCAGAAGGCUCCGCAGUGCACGUGUGUGAAUUUUUACUUCAAGAGAACUGUAGAAGACUUCAGUAAUAUUUUACAUAAGGCUUCCAUAUUAAAGCAUUCUAUAGCAUUUUCUAGAGUAUAUGCAUACAGAACUGCUGAAAUGCAGCUAGCUUUAGGGUGAAUGGGGGUAUCGAGGCAGACAACCAAUCCCCACCCAGUACUCUAUACAACAGUGAAAUAUAGGAUGGAAAAUGUUGCCCAAGAACAAUUAAUUAAACAAACCCCCUAUUCUUAAAGAAUGUGCUAUAGAAAACUCUGACGCUUGUAAUAGGCAGAAUCUCAGAUUACUAUAUACAGCCUGUCAAAAUUAUCAUGAAAACUUACAGGUUAAGGUACAAAAUCUGUUAUCCUUCCCUUUUCCACGAUGCUUGUUGGUGCAUUAAAAAAAAUGCUCCGUGAGCAGAAUUUCAUAAGAAUAGUUAGAGAUGUCAUCUAAAAAUUACACACUAAAAUAUAUAGCUUAAUUUAUUCUGUUCAGGUACCCAUAGCCACGUCAUGAACAACUUUAGUAUGUAAUAUGACUAGUAUGUCAGUUGUUUUUUUUCCUCUCUCUCUUGGGGAAAAAUUGUGUGCAUUUUUUUAAAAAAUACAUGAUAUGCUAUUUGUUAAUUUAAGCAAGGUCACAGAAGCGUUCCUUGAAUGUGAAACAGAAAACGCUGAGGUUUGAGUUAGUUCUUGGAUCCUGUUGGGAAUUUACGAACAUCAGAAGGAUGAGGGGCGUCUGAGGUUCAAUAGAGUUGAAUGGAGUUAAUUUAAACAUGAUGGUCAGACCACUAAAUAAUGUCUUCUGUCUUUCCCCAGUUGCACUUUUCAGUAUUCAUUUAUCUGUUUAGAUUUUAACCAGAUAUUUUCAGUUGGAAUUGUAGUAGCACUUGUCAUACAUUAGUCUGAAUAUUGGGUAGUAGAAGUUGCACAUCACAACUGCUUCUGAUUGAAAAUAUACAACCAAUUGGUGUAUGAGCCCACUCCCUUUGAAGACAGUGGCAAAACUAUCACUUCAAAUCCUACAGAAUUUUUAGAGGCUUUUAUCCUUCCCUUCAUUAUUCUUGUUCUGAUGCUUAGGCCUAGAGUUUCUAUUGGUAGUCCCUUUAACCAUUCAGUACUUGAAUCAACACAUAUCUAGAAAACAUGCCUUGGAACUCUAACAAAAUGGUUCCCAACCUGGUCCAUGGGCCACAAUGAAGAGCCAGGACACCCACAGAAGUAGCGAGAAAUAAGAGGAAGCCUGCCUAGCCCAAUUGCAAAAGGGGCCUUCAUUGGAAUAUGGCCCACAUGAUAAUAAAUAGCGGAGGCUAAUAAAAAGUAGUAUGAAAUUUUGAAAACUUGUGGACCCUGCACAGCAUAUUUUGAUGCUAUUAGAUAAUGGUAAAUAGUUUACUCUUCAGCAAAGUACCCAAGGAAACUAAAAAAAGAGAAUUCAAGCUUUAACUCUUAAAUAUAUAACAGUUAUAGCCAGAUACAGCUUGUCUCAUGCAAGUAGCCCCAUUGACUGCAAUGGAAAUACUCAGCAGGAUUUGGCAUUCAAGCCCUGCUCCUACAACAGGGUCUGUGGGGUGGACUUCAUUAACUUCACUGGUACUCCAGGCAGACUCAAUUUCAGGAUUGGGACCUUAAGUUGCUUAAAAAUAAAAAGCAUAUUACUGUGUUUUCUGUUGUGCCAAACAGUGAUUUGAUUACACGUAUUUCCUUCUGACUACUAAGUAUGUUUGGAAGGUGCAUUUUCAGUUUUAUUAUUAAAAUUGUAGUUUUUCAUAAUUUUGUACUAAAAUUGUAUAUAUUCUAAUAUUUACUAGAAUUUAAAAUAAAGAGCACAAUUAGUAUUGCAAAGCUGUUUAUGGUUGUGACCCUGCAAACCUUUAUUUUCACAAGUAGGCCUUAUUCUUACAAAAUGAAUAGGAAAUACUUGUCAGUAAGGAUUUGUGGGAUCAGGCCCUAGAUUAGUAAAAUUGUUUCAUAGUGAAUUCUAAAUGUGCUAAUCUGCACUAACUUUAAAAACAAAUCCUAAUAACAUUUUAUGAGGAGCUGUUUAGCUUUUAACUUGUAUGAACAAGGACAGUUCAGGAUACGAGUUGAAACUUUUCCACAGUUUAAGUUCUAUAUUUGGAAAACAUUAGCUUUAUGUUUGUUUUUAUUGUUAUGGAAUAUUUUAUAGAUCUGUUGGACAAUUUUUAACAUGCACUAUUUAUCGUACUCUUAAUACAGACAUCUGAUUCUGAGGAUUUUCUGUUCAGCGAUCAGUCAAAUAUUGGAUUGAAGAUGUUGGCAGGAGAUUAAUGAUCUCAGUUAAUAUUUAAAAUAAACUGUGAAGCAACUAACAGAAUAAUUUGAUUUUUGCAAAUGCAAUGUUUUGCUUCAGGUGACUUUUGCAUAAAAUUUUAUUUGUAUUUUAACAUACAGCCCUCCGUUCUGGAAAAGACAUUCUGACAUCGUUUCAUAGCAGAAUUUGAGCUACGUUACACAUGCUUUUGUUAUGGAUUUUUUUUCCUUGACAAAGGGAAUGUCACUGGCAAGUUUCCCAUCAGUUUAAGUUUCUGUGAAAAUACAUAGCCAACAGAUGUUCUGUUGCAGAAAAAACAAGUCCCUGCUGAGGCAUUUUUCACUGAGCAAUCUUAGCAUAUGUGCUUCUAGUUCCUGCUUUGUUAAUAAUGUGUAUUUCAAUGUAAAGAGCAUAUUUUGAAUGCAAAAGAUGAGACCUGAGUUAGUUGUAAAACAAGUUUUAUUGUGUAGUGAUGCUGGUUUUAGAAAACAAAGGUUAAUUCUGAAAUAACUUGACUAUAUCUAGUGUAGUUCAUGUUGUGGAGCUUUGUUUUGUAAGAUAUGAAUAAAACACUUUCUAAUGAUGUUCAA